rnacentral:rRNA from 1 species
AGCGCACCCUUGUCCUUAGUUGCCAGCACUUAAUGGUGGGAACUCUGGGACACUGCCGGUGAUAAACCGGAAGAGGGGGGGGACGACCUCGAGUCAUCGGGGCCCUUAUGGGUGGGGCUACACACGUGCUACUAUGGCCGGUACAGAGGGCAGCAAACUCGCGAGGGAGAGCAAAUCCCACAAAGCCUGUCCUAGUCCGGAUUGGAGUCUGCAACUCCACUCCGUGAAGUCGGAAUCGCUUGUAAUCGCAUAUCAAAAUGUCGCGGUGAAUACUUUCCCGGGCCUUGUACACACCGCC